GUAGGUGGCAAGCGUUGUCCGGAAUUAUUGGGCGUAAAGCGCGCGCAGGCGGUUCUUUAAGUCUGAUGUGAAAGCCCAGGGCUCAACCGUGGAGGGUCAUUGGAAACUGGAGAACUUGAGUACAGAAGAGGAAAGCGGAAUUCCACGUGUAGCGGUGAAAUGCGUAGAGAUGUGGAGGAACACCAGUGGCGAAGGCGGCUUUCUGGUCUGUAACUGACGCUGAGGCGCGAAAGCGUGGGGAGCAAACAGGGAUUAGAUACCCUGGUAGUCCACGCCGUAAACGAUGAGUGCUAAGUGUUAGGGGGUUUCCGCCCCCUUAGUGCUGCAGCUAACGCAUUAAGCACUCCGCCUGGGGAGUACGGCCGCAAGGCUG
rnacentral:rRNA from 1 species